rnacentral:rRNA from 1 species
GACGAACGCUGGCGGCGUGCUUAACACAUGCAAGUCGAACGGAAAGGCCCUGCUUUUGUGGGGUGCUCGAGUGGCGAACGGGUGAGUAACACGUGAGUAACCUGCCCUUGACUUUGGGAUAACUUCAGGAAACUGGGGCUAAUACCGGAUAGGAGCUCCUGCUGCAUGGUGGGGGUUGGAAAGUUUCGGCGGUUGGGGAUGGACUCGCGGCUUAUCAGCUUGUUGGUGGGGUAGUGGCUUACCAAGGCUUUGACGGGUAGCCGGCCUGAGAGGGUGACCGGCCACAUUGGGACUGAGGUACGGCCCAGACUCCUACGGGAGGCAGCAGUGGGGAAUAUUGCACAAUGGGCGGAAGCCUGAUACAGCAACGCCGCGUGCGGGAUGACGGCCUUCGGGUUGUAAACCGCUUUCGCCUGUGACGAAGCGUGAGUGACGGUAAUGGGUAAAGAAGCACCGGCUAACUACGUG